GGUCAUCCUGGGGUCACCCUGGGGACAGUCUAGGGAAGGAGAAGGCCGUGGCAACAGGGGGGAGGUGAGAAAGGGGGUGGGGAAAAUGGCAGCUGAGGGACUGGCCAGGAGCUGCUAUCCUUUGUCUGCCUGGCUUUUACGCGUGUGUGGGGACAAAGCCUCUCUGCUAGAAAGGGCUCCUUUUCCCUAGAGAUCUGCGGUGUGUGAGUGUGUGUGUGUGUGUGUGUGUGUGUGUGUGUGUGUGUGCGCGCGCACCGCGCCUACCCCUCUCCGAGGCUCUGGUGGGAAUGACUCAGCAACACAGCCAAGCCUGCUCCAUUCUGCCAGCUCCAUGCAUCUGCCACCCGUCCUCGGCCUUGUCCUGCUUCUUAUCCCUGCAGCACCCACACAGCUGGCCCACAGGCCUGACUCCCUGAUGCCAGUCACAAAGCCGGAAGCCAUCCUGGGGUGGGGCUGCCUCAGACCCUCCCUCAGCUCUCACCCUGGCCCCUUCCAGCUGCUUCUCUAUGCAUGGGGGUCCUCACAGGACCUCGUUCACCACUGCCCAGUGAGGACGCACUCUGACUGUCCUCAUCCACAGAUUCAGAAAAGGAGCACCACCAGGCCACCCCCCAUUUGUGCCCUCUACUGAGGGAUAGGUCUGUCCCCAGGGCUAAAGUUACCAGCACGGACACUCACUAAAGGACCGCAGCAGCAGCAAUGAAGAGAAACAGCUAGAAACAACCUGUGCUCAUCCGGAAAGAUGCUUCCUGUAAAUCACUGUGCAUCUGCAGGGCAGGACCCCCAGCAGCCACUGGAGAGGCUAGGCGCUGUCUGUGCACAUGGUGCCUUCUGGAAAUGAGAAUCAAUUGCUUAAAAACCAUAAUAUACUACAUAAAGAAAACACCGUGGUUAUCUGACUUCAGAGUUCAGACUCCAAACCCUGAGAGAGGACAGCCUAGCAGACUCUGGACUAGGGAAUUGGACUCGAGUUUUAACUAGGCAAAGAGCCACCUGGAAUAAAGACUUAUCUCCUAAUCAUCUUUGCAUGUAGAUUUGCUCACGUGACUAUGUCCCAGCAAAUGGGAGCCAAAUGGAAGUAUGAGGAUCGAACUUGGGUCCUUGCACUUGCGCAGCAGGAGGCGAAACCACUGAGCUAAAUCCCUGGCCCUGAGCAGCCUGUUUGGACCAUGAAUUGAAAGUGCAGCUCAGCCUCUCAGACCAACUGUGCAGCUCUGAGUUUUCUCAGUGGAGGAUGUCCCUCUGGGACAAGGUGAUUCAAAGCUUGCGACACAUGGUCAUGCUCAGGGUAGCACUGGCUCCUCACAACUCCAACAACAGGGGCUAUGACUGCAAUCUUCAGAGGAGAAAGCAAGGACCCGGAACUUGGAAACUGCUUGCUCAGGAUCAGCCACGAGGAAGUGCAGGAGCAGGAACUUGAACCCCGGGUUUUGAAUGAAAAACUUCACCUACCUGAAACAAAGGCUGCACAUGAGAUUCUUACACAAAGGCACCCUUUUCCCAACUGCUCAUCCCAACACGGAGGCCCUGGGUCAGGUUUGUGACGUCCUGAGGUGCUGAAGGGGUGGGACAAGGGAGGGGAAAGCUGUCAGGCAAUCCCUCAGCAGCUUGGAGGUCUGGGAGACAGAUUCGACCAGCACUGGUGAUAGCCCAAACAGUGCAUUUGCACAAACAGAACAAGGAACAGAAACUCGAGUUGCUUUACUGCCAUCUACUGGAAAUUUGUCAUAAUAAUCAUUCAAAUUUGUGGUAAAUGGGGAAAAAAAAAGAAGCCUCCCUAGAAUCAUACAGUGUAGAACCUGAACAACAUGUGGAGCAGCCCUAGAUGCACCUUUUCUCACUUGAGAGCAUGAAAAAAAAAAAAAAAAGACCCAUCACCAUGGAGGCUCCAGUCCUGUCUGCUUCCUUCUUGCAUGAGAGUCCCUGGCUCAUCCAGAGGUGCUACAGCCAUCUGCCUGCCCUAGUUUCACCAUGAGACCCAGUAGAAUCCAUGCAUCCUUCCACCCGCUCCAGGCACACGUCCCAGACACCUACGCUGGGCCAGGUACUUAUCUGAAUUUUUCACCAAUUACUAGCUGUGCGUACUUGGACAUUUUCUUAGGCUACUGUCUACUCUUCAGUAUGAAGGGAUAAUAACCCAGCUGGCACUGUGAAUGAGACUUAAGUGAGAUAAUAUAUGUAAAGUCCUAGAAGCCAGUGGCUGACCCUGGACCUACUGCCAGCACCAUUAGAUCUGAGUUACACACAUGCAUGCAUGGGUGGCCAAAGGGAAGACAGGCUCUGGCACAUCUUCCCUCAGAAACAAUCAGGAAACUGUGGCACAAAUGCAUGAAUAUAAAGUUCUCAGUGUGAAGCUGAGCCCAGAGCACAGUGAGUGCCUGGGCACUGGCUUUUCUCCUUUUCCUCUAGUCCUGGCUGGAUCUGAAGCUGGCUAGGUGAGUUCAGGGUCCCUUUGAUUCCCAGGGAGAGAGAACAGUUGCAAGUUUCCUUUACCUGCAGGAAGAGGCUUCCAGACUACUGUGUGGCCAAGCCUCUGGACACCUCCAUGUCUGGCUCAAAGCAAGGCCACAGACCCAUAGAGUUUUAGUUUCUUCAUCCAUGAAAUGAAGCCAGUCAUAUUUACUUUGUAGCCAUUUAGGUAAUGCAAGAAGUAACUAAAAGGCCUCCAACCAUGCUGGAAACAAGCUAAACACAAAAUAAAUUAGAGAUGCAAUCUCAGCUCUGGGACCCAGGGGGCGUCUGGAGCCAGCUGAAGGAUUCUAUUCUCUGCCAUCAAACUGCCUACCACAAUUGGCAUGAGCACUUGAAAUUGCAGGUCCUAAAACUGAUGAGGAGGCAGGAUUGAGCUCACUCCAUCUCGCUCCUCCUAUGGGAGGGAAGUUGGUACACACUUUCCAGUGGGUAGGUAGGCAACAGGAUCCUUUUGACCCAGCCAUUUCAUUUCUAGGAAUUCAGCUAAGGAAAUAGUCACAGGCCCCUCAGAGUGUUGUGCUAGGACAUUCAUUGCAAUGUUGCUAAUAAUAGUGAGAAACUGGAAAUAAUCUAAAGUUAGAGACACAUUCAAUACACAUCUUGGCUGGAUGCCAAAUGGUCAAGUGCUAAGAUCAGUACUCAGCAGAAGCCAAGGCCAACGCUUUCCACCAUCUUCAUGCAGCCAGUGUCUUUGGUAAAGGAGUGAAUUUCAAGAAAAUGUUAUCAGACUUUGCAGUGCCAACAUCCUAAUCGACAUGUUUCACUGCCAGUGUUUGACAGUCUAACGUUACAGCUCAAGAACAGCAUUUUCUCAGUAUUAGCAGAAGAUGGAUUGUUUCUAUGUUAAAUACUGUGCACAUUUGUGUUAAUAAAUUGAUGCUUACAUUGACUGAUGCUUGUGGGAGAGUGUGACGGCCUCAUUUUUUCCCAAUACUUUCUUCUUUUCUCCAUAUUCUGUAUAUUCUUUCCCAUGUUGGGUUAAAUAUGAUUUGCCACAGAAAUAUUGAUCAAAAACUAUAGUCAAUGUUUAAAUAAAAAAUUAUUACAGAAAAGACACAUUGUCAUUAGUCCCCCUCACUUUGAACACACUUAUUCUAUUAUUCUUGCCACUUUCUGAAGCAGUUCUAGAAGUCUUCUUUUGUGAGUGUUUUUUUGUGUGUGAGUGCGUGUGUGUGCCUGCCUCAAUGUCCUGAACUAAUUAAAAAUGUUUACAGCAACUUCUGGCAAAUAAAAACAUUGCAGUGUGUCCUCAUCCACCUUACUUGUCAGAUCUAGCACCGUGAGGUUUCUGGUUCUUCCCCAAAGUCAAAAUGAUCAUGAAAGGUAAAUGUUUUGAACCAAUUCAAGAGAUUGAGGGACAGCCACAACAGUGCAAAUAAAGACACUCACAAAAGAAGACUUUCAGAACUGCUUCAGACAGUGGCAAAAAUGAUGGGAGAAGUGUGUUCCAAAGAGGAGGAGUAUUCUGAGGGGAAUUAAUGG
ensembl:lncRNA